rnacentral:misc_RNA from 1 species
CCUUGCCUUUUUGAGUACCAUUUUCGUUUCCUCGGCGGGCUCGCCCGCCAAUGGGGACCACCCACAAACGCUUUGUAGUACCUGUAAACGUCUGAGAAACAAACAAAAAUUUAAAACUUUCAACAACGGAUCUCUUGGUUCUGGCAUCGAUGAAGAACG